UAUCUAAUGUUACUUUUGAAGAAAAACUGAACUUUUCAGCAUACUUUUUGAUAGUUUAAAACCAUUAUAACUUUUCUUCUUCAUCUAUUUAAUCCCUCCAACCACCCACAUUCGAAGCUUUUUGUUCAUAAGGUGGGGUUUUGAUGGCUGGGUGUGGCGACAAGAAAGGAGAUGAUGGUCUCGUGAUUGGGUUGCGAGUCGGAGUCGCAUGCAUUGCUUAAAUUUCAAGUUCAGAUUAAAGUUCCUCAAAAUUUCUACAGGGCAUUGAGUACAAGGUUGAGGAGGCUUAUUAGUUUCGGGAAGCUGGAAAAGGUUAUAAUUGAUUCAUAGCCUUCGACAGUGGCUGUACUUGCCAGCUUUGUUAUUUGGUGAGCCAGUUAGAGUUUUUGGAGUUGCUGGGCUUGUACUUUGUGUCAAGUGUUCUUCUCAAGGAGUUUCUUGUCAAGCAGCUCCAAAACUCUGAGAUUUCGAGGCGUGAGGAAGUUGGGAGUUACCAAUUGAGAAAGAAGAAAUCCAACAAGCCAUGUGGGUUUGUUGAUGUUUCAAUUCGUGUUUUUAAGGACAAGGAAGAGGUAGAUUCACACCUAGGUGAGGGGGGAGGAAUAUUUCUCUCAGAUCAUGGAAAGAAGGGUGGAUUUGGACAAGCGUAUCCACAACAAAUGGCUCCAGCUUCACUCCAUGGACUAGAAAAACAAGCACAAAUCAAUAACCCUCACUCACAUCCAGUUCCAUUUCCUGCAAACUACUCGAACCCAUAUGUGGGUGGACCAAGCUACCCUGCAACUGCUGGACCGAGUUAUCAACCACCCCGAACUCAUCCACCACCAGUCCACCACUGUCGCCACCACUCUCAAAUGCUGGUUAUCAUUCCUCGAUAUAUUGCAGGUUAUAAUUGACUCACAGCCUUCAACAGUGGCUGUACUUGCAGCUUUGUUAUUUGUUUUCGGUUAGCGCAGGUGUGUGAUUGAAGCCACUUGGAGGAGCAUUGAAUUUCUGGUUCCAGUUCCUGAACACUUGAGAACUGAUGUGUGUGGGGUUCUGUUGUUGGUCGUGUUUGGCUUCUUAGAAAUUGAGAACUUGAAAAAGGUAGAACUAGAGGAGAAGAUUAAAGAAAACUUACAAGCAACACCAUAUAUCAAGGCAAAACACAGUUUAACUAUAGAUAUGUGGGGGACGGGAGAUCCGACACAUUUAGGUGGGGCUAUCUACAUCCCUGAGUGUGCUUUUAUUUCAUACGAAAAACUUGUGCUUCUUUCAUCGAAUGGGAUUUGAGUGCAGAAGAAGUUUUGGGUGUCAGAUGGAAGAUAUUCACACCAUCCCCUUCCAAACUCUGUCUUGGUCAGCUUUGCAUCAUUUGAUUUGGGAGUUGGGUUGUGAAUAAAACCUACAGUGGAAGUUACUGCAGCUACCCCAAAUGCAAGGUCAGAGAAUGAUGCUGCUGAUAAUUUUAGCUGCUCUAAGAACAAGUGUGACUCUGAGGUUUUAGAUCACGAGGAAGAAAGUUACUUAAAUUCUUUACUCAGUCUUGAACAUGAAGACUCUGAGUGGCUCUUAGAUUCAAAACCUGACGGAUUUUCAUCUAAGAACCCUUCAACCCCUCUUAGCUACAACUGUGAAUCUUUCAACAGGAUCUCAGAUGUGAAUCUUUCUCUUAGCCCUUAUUAUGAGGCAAGUUAGGGUAUUGAGAUUCUUCCUUCAGCCUCUACUAUUUGUUCAUUGACUGAAGUGCAUUGUGGAUGUUAGAAGAUAAUAUGUCAAUGGAUAAUCUAUUAGAAGCUGCAAACAUGGAAGAGUUAUGUGGCUGAUGUACCACUUCUUGGGCCAUUUAAAGGGAAAUCCAAUUGGAAUUCAGAGGAACCAAACAUUCCUUCUCGAUUGCUACAUUCACUCAAUAUAAUAUGUAGGUGUGCGGUGUUAGCAAAGCUUCGAUGGUGAUUAAAUAACGGGAAUAAAUAGAAUGAUUCAAAACUUGGAAAAGCUAUGCCAUUGCCUUGCAAUUGAAAAUCAAUUUACUAUCUCGAUAGAAGUCAUUUUAAGCAGUGAAAGAGAGCUCUGAGAAAGGCUUGUGGAUUUUAGGUUUUCUUCUUUCCAAAAUAGCAUGUCCUCCCCUGAACUAGCAUAGAUGCAACUACGAAUUGCUUUAGACAUGAACAUGUACGAGAGCGGUUGAAAUUCAUUGUAUCAAAAGUUGCUCAUAAAAAAAGGUACUGCUUUCCUCUAUGUGUAGUAUAUUUUAUAUUUUUAUAUUUUGUUCCUUUCUCCUAUUUCA